AGGACUGUACUUACUAGGAUCAUUUCUAUAGUACAUGUCAAAUCCUCUGUACCAAAACAGAGGCAAACCUAAAGCCACCAUGAGGACUAGCAAUGGCCUCCCCUGAGCACGAAGGUUCCCUGCAGUGAGUGCCCUCUGGGCCAGUGCUGCGGGGUUGAUGACUGUUCCUAACCCUCCUCGGAGGGAAGGGAGGGGGAGUGCCAUAUUCUGAGUGGU